GAUGAAGAACGUAGCGAAAUGCGAUAAGUAAUGUGAAUUGCAGAAUUCAGUGAAUCAUCGAAUCUUUGAACGCACAUUGCACCCGCCAGUAUUCUGGCGGGCAUGCCUGUCCGAGCGUCAUUUCAACCCUCGAACCCCUCCGGGGGGUCGGCGUUGGGGAUCGGCACUUACCUGCCGGCCCCGAAAUACAGUGGCGGUCUCGCCGCAGCCUCUCCUGCGCAGUAGUUUGCACACUCGCACCGGGAGCGCGGCGCGUCCACGGCCGUAAAACAGCCCAAACUUCUGAAAUGUUGACCUCGGAUCAGGUAGGAAUACCCGCUGAACUUAAGCAUAUCAAUAAGCGGAGGA
rnacentral:misc_RNA from 1 species